AUUGAACGCUGGCGGAAUGCUUUACACAUGCAAGUCGAACGGCAGCACGGGGGCAACCCUGGUGGCGAGUGGCGAACGGGUGAGUAAUACAUCGGAACGUGCCCAGUCGUGGGGGAUAACGUAGCGAAAGUUACGCUAAUACCGCAUACGAUCUACGGAUGAAAGCGGGGGACCGUAAGGCCUCGCGCGAUUGGAGCGGCCGAUGUCAGAUUAGGUAGUUGGUGAGGUAAAGGCUCACCAAGCCGACGAUCUGUAGCUGGUCUGAGAGGACGACCAGCCACACUGGGACUUGGACACGGCCCAGACUCCUACGGGAGGCAGCAUUGGGGAAUUUUGGACAAUUGGCGCAAUCCUGAUCCAGCCAUUCCGCGUGCAGGACGAAGGCCUUCGGGUUGUAAACUGCUUUUGUACGGAACGAAAAGGCUCUGGUUAAUACCUGGGGCUCAUGACGGUACCGUAAGAAUAAGCACCGGCUAACUACGUGCCAGCCGCCGCCGUAA
rnacentral:rRNA from 1 species